rnacentral:rRNA from 1 species
GAUGAACGCUGGCGGCGUGCUUAACACAUGCAAGUCGAACGGAAAGGCCCAAGCUUGCUUGGGUACUCGAGUGGCGAACGGGUGAGUAACACGUGGGUGAUCUGCCCUGCACUUCGGGAUAAGCCUGGGAAACUGGGUCUAAUACCGGAUAGGACGAUGGUUUGGAUGCCAUUGUGGAAAGUUUUUUCGGUGUGGGAUGAGCUCGCGGCCUAUCAGCUUGUUGGUGGGGUAAUGGCCUACCAAGGCGUCGACGGGUAGCCGGCCUGAGAGGGUGUACGGCCACAUUUGGACUGAGAUACGGCCCAGACUCCUACGGGAGGCAGCAGUGGGGAAUAUUGCACAAUGGGCGCAAGCCUGAUGCAGCGACGCCGCGUGGGGGAUGACGGCCUUCGGGUUGUAAACUCCUUUCGCUAGGGACGAAGCGUUUUUGUGACGGUACCUGGAGAAGAAGCACCGGCUAACUGCGUG